GAUGAACGCUGACAGAAUGCUUAACACAUGCAAGUCUACUUGAACUUCGGUUUGGGUGGCGGACGGGUGAGUAACGCGUAAAGAACUUGCCUCACAGUUAGGGACAACAUUUGGAAACGAAUGCUAAUACCUGAUAUUAUGAUUUUAGGGCAUCCUAAAAUUAUGAAAGCUAUAUGCGCUGUGAGAGAGCUUUGCGUCCCAUUAGCUAGUUGGAGAGGUAACGGCUCACCAAGGCGAUGAUGGGUAGCCGGCCUGAGAGGGUGAACGGCCACAAGGGGAAUGAGACACGGCCCUUACUCCUACGGGAGGCAGCAGUGGGGAAUAUUGGACAAUGGACCAAAAGUCUGAUCCAGCAAUUCUGUGUGCACGAUGACGUUUUUCGGAAUGUAAAGUGCUUUCAGUUGGGAAGAAAAAAAUGACGGUACCAACAGAAGAAGUGACGGCUAAAUACGUG
rnacentral:rRNA from 1 species